UACAGGGGGUGCAAACGUUGCUCGGAAUCAUUGGGCGUAAAGCGCACGUAGGCGGCCAACUAAGUCGGAUGUGAAAUCCCCAGGCUUAACCUGGGAACUGCAUCCGAUACUGGAUGGCUUGAAUCCGGGAGAGGGAUGCAGAAUUCCAGGUGUAGCGGUGAAAUGCUUAGAUAUGACAUAGAACACCAAUUGCGAAGGCAGCUGGCUACACAAAUAUUGACGCUGAGGCACGAAAGCGUGGGGAUCAAACAGG
rnacentral:rRNA from 1 species